CCCCUGCGCCAGCCCAGCAUCAAUACUUUUUUUAAAAAGUGCCCUGUAUUUUCCUCAUGCCCUGGAGAUAAUGGAGCCGUCUUUUACUCACUGCCCACUUCUCAUCUCUGUCUGCUCCUGCUUCCUCUUGUUGGCUUCCUGUGCCUCCCUCCAACCUUCUCCUACCCCCCUGCAGUGUUUUAAACUCUCUUUUCUUCUUAAUUUCUGUUCGCCUCAACCAACCCUAAAGUGCUCUUGUACUCACAGUUAGGCUUUUAUAAUUGCUUGAUCAGUUUAUCAGUCAAUUUCAGUAUUUUGUUGAGCUUUGACAAAGAUUUUUAUUCUAAUUCUAUGGAGCCCAUGUAAUAAUUGUUUUUUCAGCUUCUGCUUGUGACUUCUCUACUUCAAAAAAUGUACGUGCUUGUUUCUGCCAGUUACAUCCCAUGUUUCAUUGGAUGUGUGUACUGUGUUCACAUCGAGUUGGCCCCACCGCUGAGUGGGUUAUUGAUGAUCUCAAGAGUCCAGUAGAAAUGAAGGGUAGAAACUUAGCCACAUCCUGGUUUGUGUUUUGCCUAACAGAGGGGUUUCACUUUCCUCUUUGGUAAGAUGAAUAUGCUUGAUAAUAGAAUAGCAUUAAGGUUGGCUUUUUUCUCCCUCAAAUGAUUAAACUGUAGUUUCAUAUGUAAAUGCCAGUAAAUUAGAAUCAUUCUAGUAGGGAAGAUAAAGUAAAUAAGUAAAAAUAUAGUAUGUUAGUAGGAAAUCGUGCUAGAGAGAGAGAGCUCAAGCAGGACAGGAGGGGCCUAGAGAUUGCUUGGGAUUUGAUGAAGAGACAGGACUGUUUUAGAGAGGCUGCUCACGGCAGUGCCUCUGAGCAGGUAGCACUGGAGCCGAUCCUCUGCUGCGAUGAGGUGGCAAGCCAAGAACAUCAUGAGGGAGGGAAGGGCAGUCCCAGAAGAGAGAGCACAGUGCAGGUGCCAGGUGGGGACCACGGGACACUGGAACUGCCUUGGUGUGUUUAUUUCCAAAUAGUGUCUGGCAUUACACUGAGAUGAGGAGACUUUUUUGUUUUUCAUUUUUUGUUUUUUUUUCCCGGGGUAGGGGUGCAUAUUGGAUUUCUUCAGGAGAUUCAGCCUCUUGAAAAAUAUGAAAUAUAGACAAGUAUAUAUACAUAAAGAUAUAUUUGAGUAUUUUAAACUUUAUAUAGCCAAGUAUCUUAAACUCUGCACACUUGAAUUUUUAAUCCUCGUGUAUAUCCAUUAUGAUUAUUUCUAUUAGUUCCAGUUUGAGGUUGGUGAUGAUAUUGUCAUAGAAGCUUUGUCAGGCUUCACAUUGUAGCAGCUGGUCUUGAAGGUGGGGCAUAUCCUUGUUCAAUGUGACUACUUUAGUUGCCUGUCCAAUAUGAAGUAGAAAAGCAGAUUUCUGGAUUACAGUAUUUGUCAACAUAGAAUUUGCCGAUUU
rnacentral:lncRNA from 10 species